rnacentral:rRNA from 1 species
UACGAAGGGGGCUAGCGUUGCUCGGAAUCACUGGGCGUAAAGCGCGCGUAGGCGGCUUGUUAAGUCAGGGGUGAAAUCCUGGAGCUCAACUCCAGAACUGCCUUUGAUACUGUCGAGCUUGAGUUCGGGAGAGGUGAGUGGAACUGCGAGUGUAGAGGUGAAAUUCGUAGAUAUUCGCAAGAACACCAGUGGCGAAGGCGGCUCACUGGCCCGAUACUGACGCUGAGGCGCGAAAGCGUGGGGAGCAAACAGG